GAGCAGUGCAGCCCCGACCUUCUGCAGCCCCACCGAGCCCACCGGCUGUCCCUGUGGCUCCGGGUCCUCACCUCUUCCUGUGCUGGGCUCCACCUCAUUCUUCCUUCCUGUCUGAUUUCAACAGCCAACAGCCUCGCAGACACAUCGAGGAGCCGGGGCACCCUGGCUUGGUCACCGCCCCCGUGCAAGUUAAGUGCGGGGGCGAUGCUGGGGGUCUUGACUCUGGGAUUAAGUGUCCCUGCAGGUGGCAUGCUCAGGAUAAAGUGGCUGGUGCCAAGGCUGUUGACACAUCACCUCCAUCCCGCCACAAAGGAAGCUGCCCCGCCAUCAACAAAUGCUUGUUUUCAGGCGGGUGGUCAGGAAAUCAAGUGAGCAGCCUGAGGUCACGCAACUAGAGGGUGACCCCAGCAGGACUGGACUGUGCCCUGCCACCUCCAGGCCACCCCUGUGGCUCUCCUUAUUUAUUUAUUUAAUUUAUUUAUUUGAGACAGAGUCUCGCUCUGUUGCCCAGGCUGGAGUGCAAUGGCACGAUCUCGGCUCACUGCAACCUCCCCCUCCCAGGUUCAAGAGAUUCUCCUGCCUCAGCCUCCUGAGUAGCUGGGAUUACGGGCAUGCGCCACCAUGCCCCGCUAAUUUUUGUAUUUUUAGCAGAGGAGGGGCUUUGCCAUGUUGGCCAGGCUGGUCUUGAACGCCUGACCUCAGGUGAUCCACCCACCUUGGCUUCCCAAAGGGGUGGGAUUACAGGCGUGAGCCACUGCGCCCAGCCUAUUUAUUUUUUGAGACAGGAUCUUGCUCUGUCACCCAGACUGGAGUGCAGUGGUGUGAUCUCGGCUCACUGUAGCCUCUACCUCCUGGGGCUCAAGUGAUCCUCCUGCCUUGGCCUCCCAAAACACGGAGAUAACAGGUGUGAGCCACUGUGCUCCCUCUUUUAACACCUCUUGCUUUCUUUUCUCUCUGUCACCCAGUAGGCACCUCUGACUCAGCUGUGCCCCAUAACAUCUUCCUGUGAGCAAAGGGCUCCCCAGAGGCAGGUCACCUGUACCCUAAGAGGAAACAGCAGAAUGUUGCCGUCCGCGGCAGGAGAUCGCACUCGGCCCCUGGAAGUGGACCUCAGUGGGUGGCCUGCCCUGACAGGGAAGGGCGUGAGGGGGAAGGACAUGGCCCAGAGCAAGCCACAUGAGAAAAAUUACAAUAAAGUAUGGGACAUCCGCUGGGGACAGGGAGCAAGCAACAUGGGGCCACUGAGGGAAGGAGGUGACAAGGUGGGAGCCAAGGGACAGGGGUCCUGGGGUCUGAAUUUUCCUCAGCAAGCAAGUGGGAGCCAGCAAUGGUUGUAGAGCAGGAGAGUAGUGGGUCUGGACUCAUAGAGCAGCUUGUGGCUCAGGGGAGGUAGGAGGGUUAGCUGGUUCCCCAGAGCCUGUGUGGGUGAUGGGGGGGAGGGAACUGAGGCAGCAGACCAGAAGUGCUCCUGCACAUUCCCCUGCCUGCCUACCUUCUUUUGUCCCUCCUUCCUCUCCCUCCCUCCCAACAAUGCUUUCUGAGCACCCAGGAACCUGCUGGGUGCUGGGAGGACACGAUGGACCCUCGAGAAGGCUGCCCGAGGCUCCAGGCAGGCAGAGUGCAGACCCAGCAGCUGCAGCCUCGGCUGUGGGGAGCAACAAAGGCGCCUGAAACCAGGCCGCCCACAGGAUGUUGGAAACCACAGGGCCCGAGACUUGGCCUUACUAUGUUGCCCAGGCUGGUCUCAAACUCCUGGGCUCAAGUGAUCCUCCUGCCUUGGCCUCCCAAAGCACUGGGAUUACAUGUGGGAGCCACCGCACCCGGCAUGCCAGCUUCCUUCUCAGUCACUCCUGGAAGGUAACUCUCUCUCGCCUUGUCCAUGAAGAGGCCCCAUUGCCUGCCAGUCUUGCUGCAGGCGCUGUGAGAAGGCAUUUUCCAUCUGUCAACUGGACCUAGUUUUAUGUUGCCCGGGUCAGCGUCAUCCCUGUAGCAGGGGCCAGGUCUACUCCUGGAUGCCACCACGCCUCUGUGGGUUCCUGCAGUGACUCCUUCAACCCUUUCCCUCUGGAGGAAUCAGCUGCUUCACAGCUUGUUUCAGGACAAGGAAAUGCUGCUUUGUACAGGUUCAGGGCCAGCAUCCAGUCCCCUGGCUGGGUGGCAGUGCAUAAACCAAGCCUCUGCCCAGCGCUGUCAGCCCAGGGAGCGUCCAGCAGCCCCAACUGAAUCCAAGGUCACCACAAGGCUCGAAUCCAGUCCCCAGGCCAUGCCUCCCCUGGCCUUGGGCUCACACUGCACUCAAGGCUCCUAACCCAGCUUGUUAACUACUUGGAACCCCUCCCCCAACCCAUCUUUACCAGCCUUGAAGUUCUGAACUUUCAAGUCAUGGCACAUAACACAUACUUCCCCAAACCACAAACCCUGCGAGGCCGGACAGGGGCCCCGAGUCCCCCACCUGCACCACUCCCUCUCGCUUCCCUAACACCAGGGAGGGGGAUCAGCCCAUCAAGGAAGCAGUGCGUGAUGCCUUCCGAAACAGGCCAGAGGCCAGCCUCAGAUUGAUCACAGCUGAUCUCAGCCUCUCAAAUUGUUCGCCCCGGGCACCGUAAGCUGGGAGGCCUGGGCCUCUCCGCUGGUUCACGUGCCAGGACAUAGUAUGUGCGCCAGAAAUCACAUUUCACCCCCUAAAUGCUGCUGAGCCCUAAGAUGCAGCUCACAAACCCCUCUUCUGGGAGGCUGUCCCUGACACGGCCCUUCAAGCCACUGGAGCCCGACUCCCCACCAGGCUGGGAUAGGCCAGCGUCUGUCUCCUCCACUGGACCGGACGCAAUGGUAAAGGCAUGUGCUGUCUUGGUGAGUUGUGGGGUGGGGCCUGAAUCUGCUUUUGUAGCAACUCCCGGCUGAGGCAGCAGCUGGGGGUGCUUGGGCCCCACUUUGAGGUGCGGGGGCUGGAGCUUGGCACCCAGCCAGGGCUCUGUUGGAUACGGGUGUGUGGAUUAAUGGAUGAACAUCUGCAUCUCUGGUCUGGGAACUGAAAUGAGGAGACAGCAGGCCCAGGUUACUCCAAAGUAAAGGGCAGGUGCAAGGUGGGGACUUCUGCAGGCGUGGGGCACGGGCUGAGGGGCCACGGUGCCUCCAGGUCCCCCGUUUCGCUCGUGGUCUCCCUGGAGUGUGGCAGCCAGAUUUUAAUAAAGCCUUUUUGGUUUAUUGCACA
rnacentral:lncRNA from 10 species